rnacentral:lncRNA from 1 species
ACUGUUACAGCAUUUGGAAGCCUUUGGAGAGUCUGGGAUGCUGAGACUCAACCCAUGAGCUGCCAGUGCCUGCAGAGGAGGAUCAGCUGUCUGCAGCUCUGCAGCCUCCUCGUGAUGCAGAAGAUUGAGGAGUUUAUGCAAAAUCAGGUGCUUAACCAUAUGCAAGGCAGGACGAAGGUACAGCUUUUGGAGGACAGAGAAGACAUUUAUAUUCAGAAUCAGCUCCUAAAGUGUACUGUGGCCUACAUCUGUGAAUGUAAAGUAAGGAAAUGGAAUGUGCUGGCCUAA